GGUUUGUCAGUGUCUGUGUGUCAUACUACAGCUGACUGGUGACGGCCAUGGAGGCAGACGAGGAGGAGAAGUUAAACCAUUUACAGACCCUAAAGGCAGCGAUUCACUUCACUGUGGGUCGUAUCUGUGAGGAGGUCGGGGCUGAGCUGGGGCUGACCUACCACAGGAAGGUCAUCGCUACCCUCUCAGAGAUUACCUGCUCACAACUUGAACAUUACGCUACUGAUGUUGAAGCCUUUUCCAACCAUGCCCGCCGAACAACUGUCAGCACAGAUGACGUGAAACUUCUUGUUCGUCGUAAUCCCCAGCUGGCUGAACAUAUUAAAGAAAUGACAGACAGCAUGGAGGAAACUAGAAAGAAGAAAGGGAAACGAGGAAGAAAACCUAAGAUUAAAGACCCGCCUGAAGACAACACUGAACAGACUGUUAUUGAUGAUUAACCCUCUCGCUGCUGGACAGUGAAAUAUUUGUCAUACAUUGCACGCUAACUUUUGUGUGCAAAGAUAUGUUUAUCCCCUCUAUGCUUUUGAUCUUAAGGUGUAGUAAAGUCAGUACAUGACAGUAAAGUAAUCAGACAGCAGCUCUUCUCCUUGAAGGAUGUCCCGUGUAGCCACCAGUGCCACUAUACGAAGAGGAACUUGAGCCACAGGUGCAUCUUGAGGCGGGGAGUACCACAGGUUGGGAAGGUACUGCCGCUCUUCUAGAGGGACCUCCCCUGGUUGUACUGUUACCUCUUGAUAAGCAACAUUGCUAGGAUGACCUAUAACAUUCAAUUGGUAAUAUUUGUCAAGGAAUUUAUUAAUGUACAUACACUGUUAAUGGACUAAAGAAUGAAAUUUAUCCCACUACAACAUUAUUAUCAGUGCCUUCCAUAAUUGAUGCAAUGUAGAGUUAGGAAUAUAAGAUAAACUAACAGCAGUUCAGAAUUAAAAGGGACACAAGGAGAAUCUUUCAAGCAACUGCUAAACACAGCUGCUGAGAGGAGUAACCUUAUCAUAUUUGAGAUGUGUUCAGGUGAAACUGACAAUCUUUAAGUGAAGAAUGGUAAGGCACCAGUUGAGGGAGUUACUGUUGAGAUGGGAGGUGGAACACUGAGAGAAUGAAUGAGUAAAGGUUAGAGUACCAAGGCUGGGUUUUAUAUGUGAAGAGUUUAAGACCCCAUGAUGCAAUUAGAGUUUGUAAGGUCUUGUAGGCAAUGGUGUAGAUUUGUUGUGACUUCCUAGACUAGUAAAUGAAGUGUACUGUAUAUUUCUAUGAAUAUAAAUAUACAGUAUUAUGUAACAUAAAACUAGAUAUCUUCAAGCAUGUUUAUUAGACUGAAAAGAAGCUACAAAAGUAAGAAGGCAUUUAUUCUAAUUUUUGCAAAUGUUUUACAAUACAAAAAAAUAAUUCUGGCAAGCCAAGGUACAAAACUUGAUAAACCAUAAAAUUUCCUGAAUCCUCAAUCAACGCAUUUUUUAAUACAAGCUUGACAUUAC